UCUGACUGUAUGUUUGACUGUAUAUUGUAAUAUAUUGUAAACCGCGUGUUAAACUUCGAUUUUCAUUGGAAUUGGAAUUACAUUCCCAGCAAGCAAUUCGAAGAUCGUUUUUCGAUUUAUCAGCUUGACGAGUCUUCUUCGAGUCGUUGAGAUGAUUAAAAAAAAGAUUAUUUUUACGCGCCACUAGAAAAAGACUCGAAAAUGAGUCGUAAAUGAUCUUCAAAUACGAUAUGUAAAAUAGCAAAAACAAAAUUGUGAAGCAAUCGAAAAUUAAUCAUCCAGAUGAUUGAAAUGAGAUUAUUUUUUGCUUUGCAUUAACAUUCGGUGAGAGAACUUGUAGCUUAACCGCGCUCUCUCUCUUGGUUGUCUGUUCUCUGCUUUAUCUCGUUUAUCUUAUUCAAACGGUACUUUUCACAACAUUUUAAGUGUUUGGUGCAAUGUUCUGCAUUUUUACACUCAGUUUUAGUAACUUUGUGAACUCAGUGAGAUUAGGUAAAGUAAAAAGAAUAUGUCGGCCAAAAAUAUUAGAAAAUUGGCAAAAAAACAAGCCAAACAAUUAUUAAGCAAAGACAUUGUGUUAUCUGAAUUACGACUUACAGCAGGAUAAUGAGAAAUUUCAGCAAUUUAAACAAUUUAUAGGGAUAACUGGUGGAGAAGAACCAUCUCAAUUCCUGAGAGCAGCAAUUCGAAAAGUAUUUUCUGACGAAUUGGCUACAAAUUAUAGUUGGAAAAGCACCAGCACAAAGGCAAGCGCUGAAAAGUGCUUCCUUAUAACAAUAAUAAAAAAUAUUUGCCACAUAAAAUUCAAAUGGACGGAUAAGCACAUGAACAUGGUUUUUCAAAAAUGUUUCGUACAUGCCAAAGACCUUGUUAGAAAAAGAAAGCGCGGGAAAUAGUUUAGUUGCUUUAAUAUACAUAUAUAUAUAAUAAAUAAAAAAUUCAAGAAAAAAUA